CCCAUCAGCCCAUGGGUUUGGAUACGUCCUCCCAUCUACCUCACCUGGCUGCUUUUCAAGGCUCAUCCCCUUGGCCUCAGCAGGCUCCCAGCUGCUCUGGGCUCAGGAGGCUGGGUGGUUCCUAUCCUACUUGGCAAUCAGUUUUUGCUCUGCUAAGCACAAACAAGAUGAAACCACCUUCAGGGUCCAAGAGAGUGGCUAGUGUGUCCUGGGGCUGUUUCUGGGCUGUCUCCUAACCCUUUCCUGGCGCAUGAGGUCUGAGAAGGCUCCAUCUGCGCUCUCAUCUGAAGCCUGGCUGAUGGACAUCAACCCUUGGAGCCCAAACCAGGCUUUGGAUUUCACACCAGCCAGGAUCCAGAAUGGUGGCUCCACAGCCUUGAAGAGGUUUCAGACACACAGUAUUAUUCUCUAGGAAGAAGCAUCCCCCUCUCUCCCAAGGGUCCUUUGCAAAUUGAAUCCACAGCCCUCAAAACCUGGAGCUGGUGCCAAGCAUUUCAAUCUUACCAAAAGUAAACUAGGAGCACAAAUGUACAUUAAAAUGGACUUUAAAGUUAUGGCAGUGAAAUUGCAUGGACAAAAAGCUCUGCUUUGGGAAAAGCCCAAAGGAAAACUGAUAAACAAGAAGGAGCAGAUUCCCCCCUGGAAGUCUUCCUGGCAGGGUGCAUUUCAGUGGGGUGGGAGCCUGGGAGGAUGCUUACCAUGACUGCUGGGGCCUCCAGAGGUAAGAAUGUGGUCCCGGAUGGGUAGCAUUUGCUGACAUUCAUGGUCCCCAAUGUUUCUCUUCCUCUGCUCAUUUUCUGAGUGUUGUCUAAGAAAGCUCUGGGAAGGAAAAUGGGAUUCAAAUCGGUUUGUGAGGAUAGGGAAGGCAUUAAGGAGCUACCUUCAUGGGAAUGGCCCUGGCAGCAAGGACGGAUGGAUCUGGGCUAGCUCUUGGCUGUGGGCAAAGGCUGGUGUGUCACUCAUUGCAAAUAGUUCUUACUUAUCCAGCCUCCAUCCCUGUUCUGUACUGGAUGAAACAUUUAGGCUUGUGGUGGAGAGCAGCUCAUAGGAGGUGCCUUAAUGGCUGCUUCUGAUAUUAAAAUCAAUGAGUCCCAAAAUUGCUACCCAAACUGAGAAAACCAGCCUUGUAGCUGGCAUUUACUGCCUAAAGAUGUACUGGAGCAUGUUUAAGCACAGACUCUGCAUUAUCAGACCUUUGGAGAUUACUCCUAGCUUCUUUCCUCUGUUAAAUAUAGCUUGGCUCUGCUGCCUUUCACAGGAAUAAAACUUGCUAUUACUUCUAGGAAUCAUCCAUUAAGUAUGUUUAAAAUGCUGUUUCAGCCACGUGUCUGCACUGUUGUGUAAUCCACAGAGCAUUCCCUGUGCACGACCA